GGCUCGGUAGCUUAGUUGGUAAAGCGCUCGUUUAGCAUACAAGAGUCCUGGGUUCGAAUCUCAGCCGAACAC
rnacentral:tRNA from 1 species